GGUUGUGGCUCAAGUGGUAGAGCGCUCGCCUAGCACACGUGAGGCAAUGAGUUCGAUCCUUAGCACCA
rnacentral:tRNA from 1 species